rnacentral:rRNA from 1 species
GACGGAGGAUGCAAGCGUUAUCCGGAAUUAUUGGGCGUAAAGCGUCCGCAGGUGGCUGUUCAAGUCUGCUGUCAAAGCGCAGAGCUUAACUCUGUACAGGCGGUGGAAACUGAAGAGCUAGAGUAUGGUAGGGGUAGAGGGAAUUCCCGGUGUAGCGGUGAAAUGCGUAGAUAUCAAGAGGAACACCUGAGGCGAAGGCGGGUUGCUAGGCUGACACUGACACUCAGAGACGAAAGCUAGGGGAGCGAAUGGG